GACGAACGCUGGCGGCGUGCCUAAUACAUGCAAGUAGAACGCACAGUUUAUACCGUAGCUUGCUACACCAUAGACUGUGAGUUGCGAACGGGUGAGUAACGCGUAGGUAACCUGCCUGGUAGCGGGGGAUAACUAUUGGAAACGAUAGCUAAUACCGCAUAAUAUUAAUUAUUGCAUGAUAAUUGAUUGAAAGAUGCAACUGCAUCACUACCAGAUGGACCUGCGUUGUAUUAGCUAGUAGGUGAGGUAACGGCUCACCUAGGCGACGAUACAUAGCCGACCUGAGAGGGUGAUCGGCCACACUGGGACUGAGACACGGCCCAGACCCCUACGGGAGGCAGCAGUAGGGAAUCUUCGGCAAUGGACGAAAGUCUGACCGAGCAACGCCGCGUGAGUGAAGAAGGUUUUCGGAUCGUAAAGCUCUGUUGUAAGAGAAGAACGGGUGUGAGAGUGGAAAGUUCACACUGUGACGGUAUCUUACCAGAAAGGGACGGCUAACUACGUGCCAGCAGCCGCGGUAAUACGUAGGUCCCGAGCGUUGUCCGGAUUUAUUGGGCGUAAAGCGAGCGCAGGCGGUUAGAUAAGUCUGAAGUUAAAGGCUGUGGCUUAACCAUAGUACGCUUUGGAAACUGUUUAACUUGAGUGCAGAAGGGGAGAGUGGAAUUCCAUGUGUAGCGGUGAAAUGCGUAGAUAUAUGGAGGAACACCGGUGGCGGAAGCGGCUCUCUGGUCUGUAACUGACGCUGAGGCUCGAAAGCGUGGGGAGCGAACAGG
rnacentral:rRNA from 1 species